UACAUGGAAGAGGAAACUGGAGAGCCACAGUUCUACUGAAACCAUUCUGUAGUGUGUAGAUAAUCUGAUAAUCUCUGCUUUUAGAACAGGCAGGAAACUGAAACUACUUCAAGAUGAGUCCUUAAGUGCAGCUUGAGCAAACAAGUCCAGGCACACCUCAGAACACCUUGAGAUGGCUGUCAAAAGUGAUUUGUGUCCUCACAGCUUUGGUUUUCUGAGAACUUGGUUCCUUACUGCAAAGGAGAAGUUGUGAGAGUCUGCAGAUGAAGCCUGGAGGUGAUGAGAAAGGGACAGAAUUUCUUCAAACUGUACAUAGACUUGGGAGCUCAGUGAUGUGGAAACUGAUCCAUCCAGGGCAGAAGCAGGCAGGAUUUCUGAUUCAGCAAACCUUAUUCCCUCAUUUAGAUCUCACUGGUAAGGAAAUCUCAAAGGCUGUGUUUGCCAUUGUCAUUUCAAGUUACAGAAACAUACCACAAUUUAAAAAACCCAGAUCUGCAGUCUCCAUGGGUCUUACAUUUAGUGACCUUAGGAGGGCCUAAACUCAGCAUAAACUUAUGAUUUCAAACUAAAGAGCCUUGGUUGGUUAAAAUGUCCUUUGGAAGCUGGUCAAGAGGAGGCAAGGAUGUGUAGAAGACUGGUUGUUUGGGGAGCAAAUAAAAACAGUUAUUCAGGUGCAGACAACUUUGGGACAAAAUAAGCACCUUGGGACCUUCAGUGUAACAAAUAUUAAGAAAAUCCCUUUGAUCAGUCUAUGGCUAUCACUUGAUGGAAAAACAAAAUAGAAGGAAUAAUCUCUGUUUUCUCACUGGCUUGAGCCUGGCUUUGCUUUGCAAAGUCUGGGGUGUGGGUCCCCAGUGAUUGUUUACUCUGUACAAACCUCCCUUUCCAAGAGCUUCCAGAGGGGCCAAGGACUUUGUGAGUUUGGAGAUCAGGUUCCUUUUCCUCCACUAUCAUCCCAUCAAAACAUUGACGUGGCAAAUAGGGUGAUGGUUUGGGAUAUGAGGUAAAAUCCUGAAGCUUGAUAAAUUGAUGUCUAAAGUCUUUUCUGCACUUCUGCACUGUUGGGAUGAAAUCUUUUAGAAGACCUCUUCAGGUGCUCAGAGCUUCUCUCAAUUCUCACCCACUCUCCUGGGGGUGGAUGUGGGCACUAAUCACACUCAAAUUCACCUCAAGGUAAAAAUAGGGAUAUUUCCUGCCCUCUGUAUUUAGAGUUUAUAUCCAUAAUGCCUCAUAACUUGAGCUAUGGGGAGUGGUUUCUUUGCUCUGUGCUGUCAGUGGGCUCAUCCCCACAGUGCUUUAGAGCUGGGGGUUUGCAGGGAGGAGGAAGAGGAGGAGGAGGAGGGGGAAGAUGAAGCUGUUUAUUUCAGCAUCUCUUACCGCAUAUUCUUGCGCUGAGCACCUUGGCAACCCACUGAGCAUCACGUUCUCCUCACAUGGCUGUGCUCCAGCUGGGGGACUCAUUCGGCUUAAACUUGCAGAUCAUUUAAAGAAAUGUUUAAAAGUGAGGUGUGACUCGGUGUGAGUUUGCCGAGGAAUGCACCUCGCUGUGACAGCAGCACGAGCUGGGUGCUGAAUAACGAUUCCAUCACUGCUGAGCUUUCCUUUUGGCAUCGUGCUGGGGACAAUUGCCACAUGCAGAAAAAAGGGGUAGGAGAGCAGCACUCGGGGGUGUGGGUACAACAGAGAUGGGGAGCUCUGAGGAACGCCCCGGUUUCCCAGCCACGCUGAGGCUGUGGAAGGGCAGAGCUGCUCGUGGGGCGCUUCCCCAGCUGCCGUGGCUGAACGCUGCGGUGUCCGUGGGAUGCUGAGCGAGCCCUGCAGAGGAGGGGCCGCGUGUGCCGGGGCCCGGCUCUAAAUGCGGCCGCGGGAAGAGCUGCAGGGCAGAUAAAGAAAGGAGUGCAGAGAGCCCCGGGGCGAGCGGCAGAGCUCAGCCUGCCCAGCACAGCGCUGCCUUAGUAGGCAGCAGCCACCCCCAGCUCAGCCCGAUGUGUUACCGCGCCCUCCACCAUCCAGAGCUGCCCGACCAUGGAAUUCGACCCUGGUAUUUUUAAACCUCACACUGCUACGUUUGAAGGGUCUCAGACGUGUCACCUCAUUUGGAUUAUGCUGUUUGCCAGCAGGGUGCUGCUAUCAGGGGCUGGAGUCUAGGAGGCAUUACAUUUAAUGUAAAACACAUUCUUAAGCUGUCUCUUACUCCAAACAAAAUCUGGUGUUUGGGCUUUGGACCAGAGCAUUACAGAC